CAGUAACAUUUUCAUCAAAAUGGCAAACAACCUACUGAUAAACUGCGGCAAUUUCCUCAUCAUUCCAGGAGCCCUUUCCCUAGCCUCAGCCAAGGUAAUAACAAAUUCAAUAGCCAAAUGUCUGGUCCCCUCUUCUAAACUCUCGGCCUCAGCUAUUUGCAACAUUGCACCCACCACAUCAACAAGCUGCCUCCUCAAAAACCUAGGCUCAGUACCCGCCAAUNGACACACCUGUACUCGUGGAUUUUGGAAAUCAUCCAUAGCUGUUGCCAAUGCUGGCAGUACUCUGCUGUGGUACUGUACUUGCAAAUCAGGCCCCAAGUCAGUAGACAACUGGCCAAUUGCAUUAAUAGCUGCCCAUCUCACUCGAGGAUGAGGAUCUUGGAAACAGCUCAAAACCAUGUUCACAACUUGCUCCAAAAUCUUAAUCAUUACCUAUUACACUCAAAAAAAAAAAAAGGAAAACCCACAGAAUUAAAAUCAAUAAACAAAGCAAACAAAUUGACAAACAGACAGAAUCUGGAAGAUGGCUGAGUAAAGUGUCUUCAACUCAUAAACAAAUACUUUCAUGAUUGGCACCAAUGAGCAGUUCACAAGCCAACACUAGUCUAAUAACCCAGUUAAGAUAGUUGACUGUCGUAAAAUUUAACCAAAACGGCCAAUGAGCAGAAAUAAUAAAUAUGAUAAGUAACCAGUCACCAGUGACAACAGAGACAAGUAAUAAAUGAACCAGCAAUAAGCACCAAAUCUUUGCUACAAUGUUCAAUAUAGAUAAGUCUAGAGUCAUCACAACUCUCUUCCAAUAUAUACUCCCCUCCAUCCUAAUCUAUGCAACAUCUACCCAUUAUAGAACAUUCCAAAAUGUUUAACACAAUUCCAUUUCUAUAAAGUUUUACGAUUUCAGCAAUACAUAUAUUAAUUAUACUAUUCAAAAUUUAAAUUAGACACUAUCAGACUAAUAUUUGCUUUAACUAGUUCUUAACUCUCCCACUAUAAGAUAUAUAACACAAAGAAUAAAGAUCAUUUGUAUUCCCAGGUGGGGAGUUUGAUUCCCUAUCAGCCUAUUUGCAGAAUUCAGUAAAAAACUUUUUAAAAAAAACAUCUAUAUUUACAUAACAAACUAAAUUCUCACAUAACCUAGAAUCAAGACGCACAAAGGCAAAAAUUGAAAUUUCAUUAGUACCUUUGUGCAACCUUCAGCAAUCUGAGCAAGUGCAAUGAGCGCGGCAUGGUGCUUUUGCCAUUCAGGAGCAGCCAAGUAAGGAGGCAACUGCUCUGACGCCACAGGAACAAUUGUACUACCGCCCAAUGCAAUGGACAAACGAUCCAAACACUCCUGACCAACACUGUAGUUACUAGUUUCCCCUGCAUCCUCGUGCUCAACUUCAGCACUAUGCCAUACAGGUUCAUCAUCAAUGUCCAGUAACAUUUUCAUCAAAAUGGCAAACAACCUACUGAUAAACUGCGGCAAUUUCCUCAUCAUUCCAGGAGCCCUUUCCCUAGCCUCAGCCAAGGUAAUAACAAAUUCAAUAGCCAAAUGUCUGGUCCCCUCUUCUAAACUCUCGGCCUCAGCUAUUUGCAACAUUGCACCCACCACAUCAACAAGCUGCCUCCUCAAAAACCUAGGCUCAGUACCCGCCAAUUCAAUCAAC
rnacentral:lncRNA from 1 species